AGUGAACGCUGGCGGUAGGCUUAACACAUGCAAGUCGAACGGCAGCACAGUAAGUGUUUGCUCUUACGGGUGGGGAGUGGCGGAAGGGAGAGGAAUGCAACCGAACCUACUUUUUCGGGGGGGAUAAGGUAGGGAAACUUAAGACCAUACAGCAUACGACCUACGGGUGAAAGCAGGGGAACUUCGGGCCUUGCGGGAAUGAAUGAGCGGAUGCUGUAUUAGUUAGUUGGCGGGGUAAAUGCCAACCAAGGCGACGAUCGGUAGCUGGUGUGAGAGGAUGGUCGGCCACACUGGAACGGAGACACGCUCCAGACUCCUACGGGAGGCCGCAGUCGGGAAUGUUAGACAAUGGGCGCAAGCCUUACCCAGCCAUACCGCGUGUGUGACGAAGGCCUUCGGUUCGUAAAGCCCUCUUUUUGGGUAAGAAAAGCUGUAGCUUAAGACCCCGCGGUUCUGACGGUACCCAAUGAAUAAGCACCGGCUAACUACGUG
rnacentral:rRNA from 1 species